rnacentral:lncRNA from 1 species
GGUCCUCGCCGUCCCCCCAUAUUGGGCUCCCAGCCGCCUCCUGUCCCCACUCAGAGCCUGAGUCCUGUGGGUCGCUGAGCUCUGCAGCGGCAGCCCCCAGCCCAAUGACACCGUUCUCAUCCAUGUGCCUCUCAAAGUCUUCCUCCUCGUCGUCCUCGUCCUCCUCCUCCUCCUCCCAGCACUUGGGCUCCUGGCUGCCCAGCUCCGAUUGCGUCCAGCGCAGCCAGGGCGAGGAGCUGCCCAUGGUGUCCUGUGCUGUCCCCGUCACUUGUGCCGCCCCAUGGCACCGCAGCAGCCGGGGGUCUCAUCACCAACGUGGCUCACGUCACUGCUCGGCAUCCUGCAGGGCACGGCCCCCCCCCGGCCCCGUUCCGUUCCACUCCCG